CGGACGGGUGAGUAAUGUCUGGGAAACUGCCCGAUGGAGGGGGGUAACUACUGGAAACGGUAGCUAAUACCGCAUAACGUCGCAAGACCAAAGAGGGGGACCUUAGGGCCUCUUGCCAUCGGAUGUGCCCAGAUGGGAUUAGCUAGUAGGUGGGGUAAUGGCUCACCUAGGCGACGAUCCCUAGCUGGUCUGAGAGGAUGACCAGCCACACUGGAACUGAGACACGGUCCAG
rnacentral:rRNA from 1 species